rnacentral:rRNA from 1 species
UACGAAGGGGGCUAGCGUUGUUCGGAAUUACUGGGCGUAAAGCGUGCGCAGGCGGCUUCUCAAGUCAGGGGUGAAAGCCCAGAGCUCAACUCUGGAAUUGCCUUUGAGACUGAGAGGCUUGAGUACGGGAGAGGUGAGUGGAAUUCCCAGUGUAGAGGUGAAAUUCGUAGAUAUUGGGAAGAACACCGGUGGCGAAGGCGGCUCACUGGCCCGUAACUGACGCUCAUGCACGACAGCGUGGGGAU